rnacentral:rRNA from 1 species
GGAGUACGCACGCAAGUGUGAAACUCAAAGGAAUUGACGGGACCCGCACAAGCCGGUGGAACAUGUGGUUUAAUUCGAAGCACGCGAAGAACCCUAACCAGGGCUUGACAUCUAACUAACCCGAAUGAAGUUUGGGUGCUCUUCGGAGAGUGUUAAGACCAGGUGGUGCACGGUUGUCGUCAGCUCGUGUCGUGAGAUGUUGGGUUAAGUCCGGCAACGAGCGCAACCCUCGUCGUUAGUUGGUAUUAAUGGUAUACUGUUAAUAACCUCUCUAGCGAGACUGCCGGUGAUAAACCGGAGGAAGGUGAGGACGACGUCAAAUCAUUAUGCCCCUUAUGCUCUGGGCUACACACGUGUUACAAUGGCCGGUACAACGAGCCGCCAACUCGCGAGAGUGAGCAAAUCUCUAAAAGCCGGUCUCAGUUCGGAUUGCAGUCUGCAACUCGACUGCAUGAAGUCGGAAUCGCUAGUAAACGCAGAUCAGCACGCUGCGUUGAAUACGUUCCCGGGUCUUGUACACACCGCCCGUCACACCAUGGAAGUCGACCACGCCCGAAGUACGUGAGCUAACCAAUUGGAGGCAGCGUCCUAAGGCAGGGUUGGUGACUGGGGUG